rnacentral:rRNA from 1 species
GGACUACAAGGGUUUCUAAUCCUGUUUGCUCCCCACGCUUUCGCGCCUCAGCGUCAAUACCAGUCCAGUUGGCCGCCUUCGCCACCGGUGUUCUUCCCAAUCUCUACGAAUUUCACCUCUACACUGGGAAUUCCACCAACCUCUCCUGGAUUCUAGCGCGCCAGUAUCAAGCGCAGUUCCCGGGUUGAGCCCAGGGCUUUCACGCCUAACUUAACGCACCGCCUACGCGCCCUUUACGCCCAGUAAUUCCGAACAACGCUUGCCCCCUUCGUAUUACCGCGGCUGCUGGCAC